rnacentral:rRNA from 2 species
CUGGCGGCGUGCCUAAUACAUGCAAGUCGAGCGAACAGAUGAGAAGCUUGCUUCUCUGAUGUUAGCGGCGGACGGGUGAGUAACACGUGGGUAACCUACCUAUAAGACUGGGAUAACUCCGGGAAACCGGGGCUAAUACCGGAUAAUAUUUUGAACCGCAUGGUUCAAUAGUGAAAGACGGUUUCGGCUGUCACUUAUAGAUGGACCCGCGCCGUAUUAGCUAGUUGGUAAGGUAACGGCUUACCAAGGCGACGAUACGUAGCCGACCUGAGAGGGUGAUCGGCCACACUGGAACUGAGACACGGUCCAGACUCCUACGGGAGGCAGCAGUAGGGAAUCUUCCGCAAUGGGCGAAAGCCUGACGGAGCAACGCCGCGUGAGUGAUGAAGGUCUUCGGAUCGUAAAACUCUGUUGUUAGGGAAGAACAAAUUUGUUAGUAACUGAACAAGUCUUGACGGUACCUAACCAGAAAGCCACGGCUAACUACGUGCCAGCAGCCGCGGUAAUACGUAGGUGGCAAGCGUUAUCCGGAAUUAUUGGGCGUAAAGCGCGCGUAGGCGGUUUCUUAAGUCUGAUGUGAAAGCCCACGGCUCAACCGUGGAGGGUCAUUGGAAACUGGGAAACUUGAGUGCAGAAGAGGAGAGUGGAAUUCCAUGUGUAGCGGUGAAAUGCGCAGAGAUAUGGAGGAACACCAGUGGCGAAGGCGGCUCUCUGGUCUGUAACUGACGCUGAUGUGCGAAAGCGUGGGGAUCAAACAGGAUUAGAUACCCUGGUAGUCCACGCCGUAAACGAUGAGUGCUAAGUGUUAGGGGGUUUCCGCCCCUUAGUGCUGCAGCUAACGCAUUAAGCACUCCGCCUGGGGAGUACGACCGCAAGGUUGAAACUCAAAGGAAUUGACGGGGACCCGCACAAGCGGUGGAGCAUGUGGUUUAAUUCGAAGCAACGCGAAGAACCUUACCAAAUCUUGACAUCCUUUGACCGCUCUAGAGAUAGAGUCUUCCCCUUCGGGGGACAAAGUGACAGGUGGUGCAUGGUUGUCGUCAGCUCGUGUCGUGAGAUGUUGGGUUAAGUCCCGCAACGAGCGCAACCCUUAAGCUUAGUUGCCAUCAUUAAGUUGGGCACUCUAGGUUGACUGCCGGUGACAAACCGGAGGAAGGUGGGGAUGACGUCAAAUCAUCAUGCCCCUUAUGAUUUGGGCUACACACGUGCUACAAUGGAUAAUACAAAGGGCAGCGAAUCCGCGAGGCCAAGCAAAUCCCAUAAAAUUAUUCUCAGUUCGGAUUGUAGUCUGCAACUCGACUACAUGAAGCUGGAAUCGCUAGUAAUCGUAGAUCAGCAUGCUACGGUGAAUACGUUCCCGGGUCUUGUACACACCGCCCGUCACACCACGAGAGUUUGUAACACCCGAAGCCGGUGGAGUAACCUUUUAGGAGCUAGCCGUCGAAGGUGGGACAAAUG